AGUAUUCAUGUUUUGGUUUGUCCGCCAUUAUUGCGCGCCAAAGUUUUGUGUCUGUUGACGUUGGACUUGUAUUUUUCGUUGGAAUAUUUUCUUCUCCAGGUUGUAAUUGCCAGUUGGCCAAGUGUGAAAUAAAACGACAUUCUGUAUCAUUGACGGAAUUAUUAUAAUUGGACCUGGGCGCGUUCGGAGUGAUCUACGUUCGCAAAUAGCGGUGCACAUAAUAUCGUAUAGGUACGUACUGAAUUCGUUAAUGUUUGCCAAUUGAUGUGAGUUGCAAUUAAUAUUUAAUACCUGUGUUGAUUUCGUAUACCUACAAUGCCAAAGUAUAAAUUAAGUCGCUCAUCUUAUAGACAUGCUCAAGUUAAAUCAAAUCAACAAAUUGCGCAACUUGAACAUACAGGUCUGAACGUAAAUCAAAUCGCCUUUAAAUGUGUGAAAUUCCCAUUUGGUAAUAAAUUUGUAGUAUUUCCCUUGUUACAUUCUGCAACUACCAAAUAAAAUACCUUAUUUUGGUUUGUGAAUACAACGUAAUUGGAUGAACAUGUAAAUUAUGUUUAAUUUUAAUUUUCACGCUUUUAGUGGAAAGUGUCUCUUUUCAUUCUCUUCAUUUAGAAAGAAGAUAUUUUCAAAUUAUGUAUUACAAUGCAUGAUACUAAUGCGUUAGUCAAGAAGAGGCACUUCCCACUACAAUCUGAUUUUUAUCACUUUCAUUUAUUUUUUCUAACUGAUAUUUUUCUAUGCAUCUAUCUAUGCAUAAAAAGCAUGCCACACAAUGGGAAUCUCACCUGGUCUGUCAUCAAAUUCCCAGAAGAAAAUUCUGUAUCCGUGGUACCAACCUCGUGGCUACAUGGCAAUAUAUGCUUCUGGCCGCCGUAUAAUAGAAAACUGUUGCAAGACGCAAUUGAGAAAGGGGACCCUCCCGAUAAAGAAGUUUGGCAGCAGUUUCAAUUUUUACCCUUAAGGAAUAAUAUAUUUGAUAAUUUUAAAGAAGCUGAACGUAAAUCACGCAAAGCAACAAUAACUUCAGAUUUGGAUUCACAAAUGGAAGAUCAUCCUGAGCACAUAACAAGUAAAAGAAAAAGGAAAAUACGAAAAAUGUCAAGUAGCGAUAAUGAUUCUUCGGGAGAUGACGAAGAUAUGAGGCGUAAACUCCCAAAACCUCCCCAGCCAAAUUUACAUAAACAAAGCGUCUUUUCGCAACAUUCAUCAAAUCAAGUACUUCAAACAUUUACUGAUUCAGAAGAGUUUGGGAAUAAUGACAUCACUGAUGCUGUGAAUACGUCUUUCCCAGAGGGCUUUCGAGACGUGAGACCGCUUUCGAGUAAUAGUAAUAAUAACGGUUAUUCCACUACCAUCACAUCCAAGUCUACGCAAGUUGAUAAGAAUAAUGUUGGUGAUAUCACAGAAUAUCUAAAAAUGAUUUUGCGGAAACAGAACAUAUUGCAAUGUAUGGUCGCUGAUAUGAACACAAAGCUUCAAAAUAUUGAAAAUUCUAUCCAGAGCAAUAAACAAGCAGAUGACAAAAAUGAAUCUGACUACGACUCUUCACUUUUUGUAUUGAUUGAAAAUUUGCCAAUCAAUUCCAAUGAGACUCUCAAAGAAGUUGAAGAUUUCUUAUCUGAUGAAAAAAAAUUGAAUGACGCAGUAAGGGAAAUUUCCAAACUGGGAGGCAAAACACUGCAUAUGAAUUUAUACUUAGAGUGACAAAAAAAUUAAUAACAGAUAAGUUCGCUGGCAAUGAAUUUAGUUUCUUGGGAAGGAAAAAAAAAAACGAUUCAUAGAUUUGAAAUUGGCAUUGCUGUUAAAAAAAGCUGCCAUUUCCCUGUUUAGGAAAACUGAAAAAGAGAUUGAAAAUGACAUGGCGAAGUGGUUACGCAAAUGCCCUGAAAAAUCUAGAAAAAAUAAUUGAAAGUAUUAUGUUUAUUUAUUUUAUUUACAUAAUAAAGUAACGGAUUUUUAAAUUC